ensembl:rRNA 5S_rRNA 5S ribosomal RNA
GCUUGCAUUCAUAUCGUCAUUGGCUAUGAUCUUGUCUCAUAAAUUAACUGAGGUUGGGUCUUGUCAGUUCUUGGAUAGGAGGCCUCCAAGGAAAACCCAGAUGGUGCAGGCA